rnacentral:lncRNA from 1 species
UUUUUUUAGGUUAGAACUAAAAGAAAAAAUAUAAAAUUACAUUUUAAAAAAUGAUGGGCCGGCCCAUGGGGACCCGUGGCCCACAUAGGACUGGGGUGAGCUGACCAUUAUAAGGCCCAUCAAAAUGGUGGGCUAGCCCGCCCCUCAAUUUCUAAAACCCACUUGAGCUGUGUUGGGCUAACCUGGCCCAGCCCAUAUUGACAGCUCUAAUAGCCGCUCUUAAAAUAAUAGUCGAAAUAUAUAUAUUUUUUGUAUAUAUACGUUAUGUAUGUUAUAUACAAAAAUUAUUCCAAUUUUCUUACAAAUUGCUGAAGUUCCAACAUAAUAUGCUGGAAGUUUAUACGCAGGAGCUUCAUAAUCGAGCAUAUUAUGCUGGAACUUUUCGUGUUUCAGCAAAAUAGUGACUAUUUUUCAAUGACUUUAUAAAUACUGACUAUUUUUCAAUUAUCAAUCCGAAAACUGACUAGCCCAUGCUAUUUUCGCAACACGGAGGGAUGGGAAGGAUUUACACAAAUGUUCCUUUUAGGCCACUAUUUAGAUUUUGUCCUCAUUGUAAAAAGUGUGCAAAUAUAGCUCUUGGGAAAUUAUCCCUUCCGGACAACAUUAGCUCGGUUUUAAUGUUUGCCCCUAUAAUUUUGUUUGCCUGCAAAACAUUAAAUUGUGUACUAACGUUUGCAAUAAAUUACGAAAUUUUAUUUAUACUGUGGCCUAACAUUUUUUAUAAGAUUUUCAGUUUGAUUAAAAGGAUCUUUAGACCGUGAUCUAAAAGGAUCAUCAAUUGCAAGAGAAAUAAUAAAAAGAAGAUUAUUUUAACAAAAAGGGACAAAUGGCAAAAAUUUCGCCGUAAAAAACAAGAGCAUGAGAAAAAAAAACAUGUAAAUUACAUCAUCUUUCAUCUUAUAGAUCCAGUACAAAGAGCAACAUUAUCUGAGAGGAGGAACGGGGAGGAUCCAGAUCGCCAAUAACACAAGGAAAUAAUACGAUUACCAUACAAAAUUGAAUAAACAAAUAACUCUAUACAUGCUCGCUCUCAACGGAUAUGUUAACACUCUAAAACAAUGCUACAUUCCACAUGUUAUACUUUAGACAAUAGCACAGGUAAAUAACAAAAGCCCCUUUCAAUUCUGUAUCCAAAGAUUCAAGAAAUGCCAAUAGUUUUCCCGAGCAACCAGAGCACCAGCGCGAGUUCUAUACCAAAAAUGGUGUGAAGAUAACUUCUGUCCAGCAUAAAGCCAUAUAGAGUAACUCCUGCUCUAUUGUUCUCAAAAUAUGUCACUGCAACACAAGCGACAAACCAAAUCAUCGUUAGUUGAUUCGAACAAUACAAUAUUACAGAAUUUUACGUGUAGUACAGCAUAUUUCAAAGGAAGAAAUAAGUAGUGUUAUUAAAAUUUAUCACUUCGUCACUUAAAGAAAUGAAGCAAUGAGAAGCGAAGUAUGUGUUUCAGUGACACAGAAAGUGAUUCCAUCAAGAAUAGAUUCGAUUGCUUCUUUGAAUCUCAACUUUGAUGAGUUGGACUAAUAGCGACAAAAAUGGUGUGAAGAUAGCAAUUAGUUUUUGAAAGGUAAGCUCGAAUUCUCGACCUCAGGAUAACUCAAGGUGUGAAGAUAGCAAUUUAAUUUUAGUUGGACUAAAGAUAUUUGAUAUUUUUAAUUUCCAGUAAGUUGCGCGCUUCAGCCCAAGAAGCGUGCGGUUCGUCUCUUUUUCACUUCAAGUCCAACGGACCUUGGUUUUGCACUUUCUGCUUUCAGGGUUUCAGGAUUUGAAAAAAAAAAAACGAAGUGAAAGCAGCAUACCUAGUGCCUGCCUUUUCUGGAAUGAAAUAGUGCUAUAGGCAUAAGAGGGAACAAAUUGUGUAUUGUCAAGCUCAUCUUCUUCAUCUCCAACAUCGUCAGCAUCGGAUGAUCCUUGAGAACUCACAGGGAAAACUUGGUUGCUGGCUAUUUGAGAAAUUGGAGGAGUUUCACCCUCAACUGAAUCAAAAGAGUCUAUUGUUGCACACACAUGCCACUUGGCUGCUAAGCAUGUAACAGCUUGUGCUUUAUGAGUAAUCCUGACUGCACUUCUCAACAGUAUCAAAAGCCCAGCAAGAAGGCUGACAGAACACAGCUGCAUAUCAAGAAGAAGAAGAUGUUUAUUUCAAGACACGAGUACCGGUAAUAAUCCAGGAACAAAAAGGCAAAAAGACCAAGGCUCUCGUGUUAGAAAUUUGAUAUGAAGUAAAAGAAAAAUAAAGAAACAAAAGACGGCUUGAGGCUUGAUAUUAUCGCUUUCUCAAAAGAAGAGUGAUUGUCCGACUUUUCAGAUAACAGACAAUGCUCUACUAGGAUACAACAAGCCUGUUACCAGUUGGCUUGAAAAGUAUCUGAUUUGAAGUGCAAUACUGACGAAUUGUAGCUACUCAGAAUAGACAUCUCCUUUCGAAUUUAACUUUCAGAAAUAACAAGAACAGUAAUUAGUAUUAUUAUUACUAUUACUACGUUAAAUACAAGAAGUCUUCCUAACUUUUAUAUCUCUGAGAAAUAUGAUGACAGAGUCAAGAGGAAAUUGAAGCAGUUAGCAGUUAAACUUCCGAUUGUCUGAUCGGCAGAUUAUGGCGCUGCAUAGCCAAAAUCUGGCUAUGUAGCGCCAUUUGUUGGUUGACUGCAUCGCCGCAUAGCUGAAUAUUGGCGCUGCAUAGCCAAAAUCUGGCUAUGUAGCGCCAUUUGUUGGUUGACUUCAUCGCCGCAUAGCUGAAUAUUGGCCCUGCAGUACCUUUUACCGGAACAUAACUGUCGCAAGACAUUACUCUUGAAAGCUCAUUACAUGACUCUUCAUCGGUAUAACAAACUGCACACCAUUGACCAUCCCACACCAGAGGAUUAAAAAUUGUACAUAGUUAUAAAUUUAGUAUAUUUGCUCUGUUGUUAGAAAUGCUUGGACAGUGAAGUACAGCAUUAAUUACUGCAUACUAUCAAGAAAAAUAUGCGAUCAAGGACCAAGUGCAACAGUAAGUCACAUUCAUUGACUUAGUUUAUCAAAGAGGCAUCAAGCAAAGAAAUGCAAGGAAUUUCUUUGAAAUAAUUAGAAAAUGAAACACAAGAUCCUACAUUUGACAAACAAAUAGGGAGCUGAUGAGAAGCCAUACCGCAAGUUCACCACUCUUGUAGAUAUGAAGAUCAGAACUUGAUCUUGUGCUCAUGAAAAGGGAGGCAAAUUGACUCGCUGUGAUGAAUACCAAUGCCAACACGAUAAACCUACGAUACCUAUGGCUAAUGAUCCGCAAGUGCCUCCUGAUUCUAAGGUGCUCUCUCAACACUGACUCAACAUCAGAAUCCACAUGGAAGACCUGAGCAAAAUCUUGUAACCGAAGAAUCUGAAGGUAACAGAUCAAGCGGAAAAGGACACACACUAGGAAGAACACGGUCGUCCUAUAGAGCCAGGAGCUCAGCUCCAGAAUGCACGCGACGGUGUCACUCACAAUGACAUUACCUAAGAAAGGGAUUUGGGUUCCACCUGAACUGUACCACCAAAUCUUAUAUAUGCUUUCAGCAGCAAAACAUGGCAGCACAAAAAUGAAUAGGAUCUUCAAUGAUCUCUGCAUACCAAGAAAACGGUCAUUGUUACGUCAUGUUGUUCAAUCUAUAAUUUCACACCAAUUGCAAGCUAGAAACCAUAUGGUGAUUAACAUAUCAAUAAAUAGGCGCCAUUAGUGAAUAGCAGUUCCGUUUUGCUUUGUUUUAUUAGUGGAUAAGGAUUUGGAAGCUCGUUUUUGCACCCCAAGUGUAUGGCCUAGUGGCCAAUGAAGUGGAUGAGAACCAUGAGGUGUCAGGUUCAAAUCCCAGCGAAGGCAAAAAACACUAGGUGAUUUCUUUCCAUCUAUCCAAGCCUUGGUGAAUAGAGUUACUUGGUACAUGUUGCUGGUGGGAGGUGGUAGUUAUCUUGUGGAAUUAGUCGAGCUGCGCAAGCUGGCCCGGACACCACGAUUAUUAAAAAAAAAUAUAAUAAGGAUUUGGAAUAACUGAUUUGUGGAUUAUUAUGAUAGAUUUCUUUUAAAAAAUGAAUAGGAUCGCAGCGGUGAAGAUAUUAACUUUCAAAAAAGAGGCACCAAAACACUCGUUUAUUCACCAGUUGUAGAACUACAACAAUAACAAUGAUUGACUAGUAUAAUCAGUUAUGCCAUCAGCAAAUGUUUGUACUUUUCUUUUAGGAAAAAUAAAACUGUAGAGAUUUGUCCUUUUUACUAUAAAUUUAUUCUAGAAGAAAGUUAUCAUUGUGAGACCUCUUAGUUACACAAUCAUAUGGAGCGUUUACAUCACAUCAAUUCAGUCGCAUCCAAUAGCAUCAUCUGUUUCCUUAUAAUACUAGAAGCGAAAAAUUUAAAGCCACAGAAAAAAGAAGAGAUUUAGAAAAAGAGAUCACAUCAAUCACUAGUGGGUAGAUAUUUGGGGUAAAAAUUCAAUCUAUAGUUAAGUAAGUUAAACUAAAAUAGGGAAACAGGGGAUCCCUCUGCGUUUUAGACAGUCCAAUCAUCAAACAUAUGCCAAAACAGAAUGUCAAAAUCUGUCAUUUUGUUACUAAAUUCAGAAAAUAAAAGAUUGUAUAGAAAGAUCAGCAAAUUUUAACUGAAAUUGAGCACACAAAAAUUUAAGUGAGAGAAUAAGAAAGAGAAAACGCACAUGGAGUUGUUGCAUGUAUCCUUUUCUGACGGUCUCACUCUCAUCACAAAGCUUAUCAAGGAACAAGAACCUACGAAGCCCAAAUUUCUUAACGAACCCAGAAAGACAUAUGAAGGAGAGAGCAGCAACGCCACUGAGAGACAACUGAACAACGUUGUCAUAAGGCCGAUCGUGAGUGGCAUCGCAGUCGGCACAAGCCAAAAGGAAAUGGGAGAGACAAGGGACAACAAUUGUAAACACUAUGAAAACAAACCAAGAAAGACAAGUAGACCAAGUAUCAGAUUGAUCUACACACAUCCACUUUAGCCAUCUCCUAAAACUGCGCAAUUCAUCGUACGCAUGCGAUUUGCUACGGUUAUAUGCUAUGUUUUUGGGCAGUAAAGAUUGGCUUUGGCUUUGGGUUUGGGUUGCGUCUCCCAUUGAUGAAAAUUGGAGAGAGAUUUAUUACAGAGCUAGCACCGGAAUUGGCGGGUCUGGUCAGACGCUUGAGGAUGUUUUAUGGAGUUGAAGAGAAAUUAAAGGUUUAUAUAGGGGGGUCCGAAAUGGUGGGUUACACUUGAUGUUGAGAUACACAUCAGUACAGCUGAGACUAAUUUUGGAAACUAGCAUGAAUUUUGAAAUGAUUGAUCCUGAUUCAGCCACUAUAGAUGCUUUGUUGCGGUUUCGAACAGUUUUUGUGUCGACAUUGACUUAUUUUUUUUGUUUUGUGUCAAGUUUUAAAUAGAGAGACACGGAUAGUGUGAAUUUAUAGAGGCGAAUUUAACUUGCUUGGAGUUAAAAGUUUUGUUUUUACUAUUACUGUUUUUCCGCUUCUAGUAUUUAAAUGUGGUUGUUGAAUAAAAUCCUCUUUCAAAUGUAUUUUGUGAGUCUUUUAGAGUUUAGANNNNNNNNNNNNNNNNNNNNNCNCUAGAUAACAUUUGAGGUUAUCUAGAUAAAAAUUAUUGCAAAUAAAAAUUAACGGUGUUUAACAUUUCUUAGUAAAAUAUAUAUUUUACGUAUAUUUAUUUUAUGUCAGCGUAUAGUAAAUAUUAUGUAUAUAAUAAAAAAUCUAGAUAACAUUUGAGGUUAUCUAGAUAAAAAUUAUUGCAAAUAAAAAUUAACGGUAUUUAACAUUUCUUAGUAAAAUGUAUAUUUUACGUAUAGUAAAUAGAUAAAUAGUAAAUAAAUUCUAUGUAUAUUUACUAUUUGCUAUCGAGAUAAAUCUGUCAUCUUUAUUUCUUUCGGUAAACAAAAAAAUAAAUGGAACAGAUAUUUUGUUAGAUCUUAGAUUUCUGUUAAAAAUUAAAAUGUGUUUAGUGUUAUGACUAAAAGUGCACCACUUUGUUAAAGUAAAUAGACUAUUAAUGCUCUAUGUGGAAGAAUAUGUAUGAUUUUGAGUCUAAAGUCAAAGAUAAUGUAUGGUUUUGGGCUUUUUCUCAGUGUUAUGACUAAAAGUGUACCACUUUAUUAAAGUAAAUGGACUAUUAGUACUCAAAGAAUAUGUAUGACUUUGAAUUUAAAACCAAAGAUAAUGUACCGUAAAUUAUGAGUUUGGAACCAAGCAAUGUAUCAAUAAAGUGUAAAAUAAAGCAAUUGCGGGAGGAAGGUAUCCUUUUGUCGGGAAAAGUUUACAACGCGUACAUGUUACUGGAUUUAUUCUGGAUUCUUCCAAUCAAUCUAAGUUACCUGAACCGUCUGAUUGGUUUCAAUCAAAUUAAUCUUUUAUGUUCAGAGAUCUUAUAUUUUUGUUGCUUUUUGUUGCAAAUAUAUGUUUGCCAAACAUGUCAUUUUCAGAUAAGGAAAUAAAUAUUUCGUGCUAGUAAAUUUCGGAAGCAUGAGUUGGUGAAAGAUGAGUGGUGACAGACUGACAGUGAAGUCAAUGGAGCUUUAAGCUAAAAAUAACACUAUCUUUUAGUCAUCACGGAAGACCUUCCUCACCUAAACCCCCAUGGGCGUAUGUGACUAAAACUUGCACUUUUUUAAAUUAUCAAUUUGCUUGAUCGAGAGGCUAGCUAAUUAAACAUUAAUUUCUUUGAUCCAAAAUGAGUAUGUCUCAGUCAAAUCAAUUUGGCACUAAAUAAGUGUCAACAACGACAAUUACAUACCUAGUGUAAUCCUACAAGUAUAGUUCGGAAAGGAUAGCGUGUACGCAGAUUUUAUUCCUAUCUUAUUGAGGUAGAAAGGUUAUUUUUGAUAGACACUCGGCUCAAGAAAAGUAUAAUCACAAUAGUUUAGAAAAAGAAAUAUGGUAGUAAAGAAGCCAUGAAAAAGAAAGCAGCAACAACAACGAGAUAAUAUCAAAAUCGAAGCAGAAGAACCCUUAGGUAGUAAUAGAAGUCUAAGAAUAAGUAAAUACAAGAAUAAUAUUGUACAACUAGUAAGGAAAGGAAAUACGACUACCUACUAACAUUCUACCCUAAUUCUCGACAUUCACACCUUACUAUCAAGAGUCAUGUCCUCAAUAAGUUGAAAAUGAGUCAUUUCUUGCCUAAACAUCUCUCCCCAAUAUACUUCUUUACCCUAUGUCUACCUCUCCUUAGACCUACCAUUACUAACCUCUCACUGGGGCCUCUGUGCAUCUCCUCUUCACAUGCUUGAAUCAUCUCAGCCCCUCAUCCCGCAUCUUGUCCACAACGGAGGCCACUCCGACCUUGUCUAGAAUAUCUUCAUUCCUGACCAUAUCUCUCUUAGUAUACACACACAUCCAUCUCAUCAUCCUCAUUUUCGCUACUCUCACCUUGUGGACAUGAGAGUUUGUGACUAGCCAACACUCUGGCCCAUACAACAUAAUCGGUCUAACCAUCACUACGUAGAACUUACCUUUAAGUCUUGGUGGAACAUUCUUAUCACCCGAUGUGAGCCUCCAUUUCAUUCAUACCGCUCCAAUACGAUAUGUGACAUCAUCGUCAAUCUCUCCAUUUCUUAAGUGCCGUUUUUGAAAAUAAAGAAACAUUAAUUUCUUCUUCAAAUUGAUCUUUACAUAAAUGAUCUUAAAAAACCCCAAGGAGAGAUAAAGUUUGAGGAGAGACGGAGUAGUUUAGUCAAAUUAAUGUUAUGAUUAAUGUUAUUACAUGAUUUUCUUAUUUGUUCAAAAACUUUAAACUAUUUUGUUCUAGACCAGAGCAUAGUCCUAGCCUAGUAGCCUGGGAGAAUAAACCUUUAAUUCCACUUAUUAUGCAUUCUUUUUAAAAUGCCGCACGAAAAAAAAUAAUAUUUUAUGCUAAAUUAAAUCUGUAAUCUCAUUCGAGGAUUCAUAUUUAGAUUUUACACAAACCCCGUUAAAGGAUUUGGUCAGGCAUAGACACUAGACCGCUAAAAACAGUCAAUUCGUAAUCAUUAUAUAGAUUUAUUUCUAUAUCAAAAUAAUACUAGUAAUAACUUCCCUUAAAGGAUAGGUUCCUACUUGCUAAUACUUCCUCUAUUUGGUCAAAAAUAGAGGUCUCAACAGCAAUAACACUCUUCAUUUAUCCCUUUUAAUAUUUUAGAUGAACUGUUUCUGGAGAUAUUGCAUGCCAUAAAAAAAGAGUACCAGUGCUUCCCCAACAAAAGGUAAAUAAAUCUGUUUCUGCUCAAUGAUUUUCCCCUUCAAAGUUCACAAUAAUUGCUUGUUUUUCUGAAUGAAGAUAAAUUAUUUUGCUCCUUGUACCAUUAUUGGUUUCGAUUCUUCUGGUUUGACUUAUAGGCUAGGAGGUAACGUUCCUUACAAAUAGUUUAGGUUUGUCACGUCUCUAGCCAGUAGCCACAUGGUUUACAGGAUAUCUAAAAAAAUGAAAAACGCCAAUACUUAGUUAAUCUAUAAAUCUAAGUCGAUCGAAGUGUUACAGCGCACACAUAUAAUGCCAUAAAAAUUCAUUUUUAAAUCUCUUGAUAAUGGAUGAGAUGCAGAAUGGAGAAAUGAUCAAUAACAAUCAGAAAAUCGGCCCCUCAUCUUAAUAUUUUAGGGGUUUUCUAAUAUAAGUACGCAAUGAAGUGCUUACUUGUCUUGAUUCCCCCUCCUUUUUUUAUUUCUUUCUUUUUCAUUUUGUCGCCGAAUUUGGAAUUUAAUUCUAAAAAAUAUAUCCAUCUAUCAAGCUGAUGUUAUAUAUACAUAUUUACUAUUUCGGCCUUCGAAAGAGCAAAAGAAAAACGAUGAUAAACUGGUUCAGUAAUUCAAGUACUGAUUUUAAAGAAUAAAGAUGAAAGAAAUCUAAACGAAAUUGGUUUCUCAUCAUAAAACCAACGCGUGCCUUUUUUGUAGCUUUUUAUAUUUCUUUUUGUCGCAAACACAGUUCUAAUAAUCUAGCCUAUAUUUUAUAUGAUGCUUUUGGGGAAUAAUAAUCUUUGCUUUAACUAUUUGUUUACGCACAAUAAUGGAAGACUGGUUAACUAAAAUCAGCGACGAAUCUUAGGCUCCCUUGUCACCCCAUAUUAUUAGUGAAGGAGGUAAUCUAAGAACUAAAAUUGAUUUUGCUUAAGAUUAAUUCAAGCAAUAAAAGGUUUAAUCCUUAUACACAUGAGUUGCAAAAACUUUAUUUUAUACAUAUAUCUGUAAAUAGUAUUUUUUUCUAAAAAUGAAUACUCCAUGAAUCUAAAUAGUAGUUCUAGUGGCACUUUUUGAGAAUAAUAUAAGGUAAUAUCAAUUUACGACAUAAAGUAAAUACUUAAAAUUACCACCAUCCAGAUCCAAUCCACUCACAAGCUAAUUUUUGACAAUAAAUUGGCAUCACUUGCGUAAAAUCAAAUAAACAUAACUACUUAUAAUCCAAAGAUUUAUAUAUUUACAUACAUUAUUGUAUACGGUCGAAAUAGAUUUCGACAUUCGUACGAUCGAUCAAGGUCAAAACAUAAUAGAUCGGAGUAAGACUUCGAGAUGAGUUCCGAAGAUGGUACAAACAAGCUUCGAGCCCGAGGGACCGAUCAAUGUCGAGCUCGAUAUCAUUAUCAAGCUCGAAUUCAAAUCGAACUAUGAUGCAAAGUAAAGUUAUCGAGCUUAUGAUUCAGAGACCGACCAACACUGACCCUAAAUCGAUGCAAGGAUCCGAGUCAGAAUCGAGCUCAAGUCAAGAUCGAGAGCUCGAGUCAAGACCGAAAAUUCGAGUCAAUAUCGAGCUCAUAGACAAGAGCCGUUGCAAUUCUACUAGAGGAGAGAAUCCCGACAAGAAUUAUGGAAAAGCUGAUUUAUCAUGGGUCUUCCACUAUGUAUUUUUAAUUAUAUCUAAAGUAAGAUCCCUCUACUAUAAAAUGGAUGGUUAUUAUUUCUGUAAGGACCAAGUUUUUACUUACAUUGUAAUUCAAGCAUCAUAUUCUCCUAUAGUGAAGAGUUGUUCUUUUAAACUUCAUAAAUUGAUUCAACCCGUUCAGUCCUAAAAAUCAUCUUCUUUACAACUUUUUUUUUACUUUGUACUUUUUGCAAUCCAUAUCUGAUAUUUCUAUUUAUCCUUACGGUUUGUAUUAAGCUAUACCACAUAUCCUUAGAACUACGUACAAAUUUAACUCUAUCCGUUUUUCAGAUAAACAGUUUGGCGCCCACCGUGGGGCUAAGGAUAACAGUGUUUGUUUGAUACAAAUCUGCAACACACACCAGCUUACGCUCGUCUUUUGAGGGUUUCUCUGACUUCGAAUUAGCAAUGGAAAACCCUCGAUUAAUGGCUUUACCUACCGACAACGAAGCCAGCCUUCAAGACGAAACCAAUAACUUGAUGCCCAGGGCCGGAAGGCCGCUUAUCGAUGUCAUUGAAGCUCGAGUCGAAGUACUUGAAGCUCGAGCUGAAGUACCGCUAGAUGUCAACUCGCAUGUGGCCUUUGAGGCAAACCAACGUUCUAAGCCUGAAAAUAGCAUUCAUGGCAGUACGCGAUCUGCAGAUCGAAACUCCCAUAACGUGGAGGAGAACAGAGUCAGCUUGUGUAUGAUCUUUGAAAUGUUGCAAGCCCAGCAAGUAGCGAUAGCUCAGUUGCAGAGCCAAACCCAACUACCAAGCAGACCGGAGUCCAGUCCACCUCGAGAAAUUGCCCACCGAACGGAGCCAGCCGUAGUAAGGUCAAACGAGUAAGAAUAUGGGACUACUCCCGAAAUUGCUAAAAUACUUGAGGAGCUCACAAAGCGAAUCGAAACCAAUGAUAAGAAAGUAAAAACAUAUAAUUCCAGGGUCGAUCAAAUCCCAGGGGCUCCGCCCAUGAUAAAAGGGUUGGAUUCUAAGAAAUUCGUACAAAAGUCUUUUCCCUCGAGUGCAUCCCCAAAACUAAUCCCCAAAAAAUUCCAUAUGCCCGAAAUUCCCAAAUACAACGGAACGACCGACCCCAACGAGCACGUCACUUCUUACACGUGUGCGAUCAAGGAAAAUGAUUUGGAAGACGAUGAAAUCGAAUCUGUGUUGUUAAAGAAAUUCGGAGAGACCCUCUCGAAGGGAGCAAUGAUUUGGUAUCACAACCUACCACCAAAUUCCAUCGACUCGUUUGCCAUGUUAGCAGAUUCUUUUGUAAAAGCACACGCUGGCGCCAUAAAAGCCGCAACAAGGAAAUCGGACCUUUUCAAGGUAAGGCAAAAGGAUAACGAGAUGCUGAGGGAAUUCGUAUCUCGUUUUCAAAUGGAACGAAUGGAUCUGCCACCAGUCACAGAUGAUUGGGCUAUCCAUGCUUUCACUCAAGGUUUGAACGAACGAAGUUCGACGGCUUCACGGCGGUUGAAGCAUAACCUGAUAGAAUACCCAGCCAUCACGUGGGCCGACAUGCACAAUCGGUACCAAUCAAAAAUUAGGGUCGAAGAUGAUCAAUUGGGGUCUGAACCCACUGCUCGAAGGGAUAUUAAUCGAGAACAAGGUCCGUUCGGGGAUAGAUACCAACUGUAUAACGGACCACAGAACCAGUGAAUCGAGACAUAACCUCGGACGAAAUAACAAAGGAAAUGAUCGAGAUCAAGGGUCCCGGGGGCUGAUGAACAGAAGUAGGUUCGACAGGCCUGCCGGAUCUAGGGAAGCGCCUCGGUUAUCAGAGUAUAACUUCAGCAUCGAUGAAUCCGCCAUCGUGUCGGCUAUCAGACGCAUCAAAGAUACUAAAUGGCCUAGAGGAAUCUCAAUCAAAUGUGCGAAUAUCAUGGCACCCAUGGCCAUAGAACGGAAGAUUGCAAGCAACUAAGAGAGGAGGUAGCCCGGUUAUUCAACAAAGGGCACCUUCGAGAAUUUUUAAGCGACGGGGCGAAGAACCAUUUAAAAACCAGGGAUUUUGGCAAGAAGAACCACAACACGUCAUUCACAUGAUCAUCGGCAGUGUCGAUACCCCUCAAGGGCCGGUGCUUAAAUGCACAAAGACAUCGAUUGUGAGAGGAAAGCGAUCUCGAACUCAGGAUUACGCACCCAUAGGAACUUUAUCUUUCAAUGAUGAAGAUGCAUAAGGAGUCAUACAACCUCAUAACGAUGCACUGGUAAUAUCCGUACUUAUGAAUAAAACUAAAGUUAAGCGUGUAUUAAUUGAUCCAGGUAGCUCGGCCAACAUCAUUAGAUUGAAGGUCAUAGAACAGCUCGGUUUACGGGACCAUGUCAUACUUGCAACCCUGGUUCUAAAUGGAUUCAAUAUGGCAUGUGAAAUCACCAAAGGCGAGAUAGUUCUACCGAUAAACGUGGUCGGGACAAUCCAAGAAAUGAAGUUCCACGUAAUCGAAUGCGACAUGAGGUACAACGCCCUUUUUGGAAGGCCAUGGAUCCACAACAUGAGAGCUGUACCUUCGACCCUACAUCGGGUCCUUAAAUUCCCAACAUCGAGAGGAGUCAAAAUAGUGUACGGAGAACAACCGACCACAAGAGAAAUGUUUGCCAUUGAGGAAGCAAAUCCAAUAUCCUUGCCUUCGCCAGUAAAGGGAUCGGGCUCAAAAGGGGAACGAGAUACCAAAUAGCAAUCACAGACAUCGGCCUUAACCCGACCAGAUAAUCAGAAGAUCGACGAAGAUGAUGAUCAAAGGAUCCCUUGAUCCUUCAUAAUUCCAGAUGAUUCCGACGCUACCAAAUCAACGAUUGAGGAAUUGGAGCAAGUCACACUAAUCGAGCACCGGCCCGAACGGAAGGUAUACCUGGGAACGGGAUUGACCCCCGAACUUAGGAAAAAACUUAUUCAAUUUUUUAUCGAUAACAUUGAUUGCUUUGCCUGGUCCCAUUUAGAUAUAACAAGGAUCUUGCCGGACAUAACAAUGCAUCGGCUAAGCUUGGACCCCAGGUUCAGACCGGUGAAGCAAAAGAGAAGACCCUAGUCCGAGGUAAAGCACACAUUCACAAAAGGACGAGGUAAUAAAACUUCUCAAGAUAGGGUCCAUUCGGGAGGUGAAAUAUCCCGAAUGGUUAGCCAAUGUAGUUGUAGUGCCUAAACAAGGGAACAAACUUAGAACAAACUUAGUUGUAGUGCCUAAAAAAGGGAUCAAAUGGUCCGCUGCCCAACAUCGAUCGCAUGAUUGAUGCCAUGGCCGACCACAAGAUCCUUACUUUUCUCGAUGCCUAUUACGGGUAUAAUCAAAUCCAGAUGAACCUGGAAGACCAGGAAAAGACUUCAUUUGUCACCAAAUAUGGAACAUAUUAUUAUAAUGUGAUGCCAUUCGGGUUAAAAAAUGCAGGAGCUACUUACCAACGCCUGGUGAAUAAAAUGUUCGAAGAACAAAUAGGUAAAUCAAUAGAAGUUUAUAAUGAUAACAUGCUAGUUAAGUCCCUGCGCGCAGAGGACCAUUUGACCCAUUUCCAGGAAACGUUCGAGAUUUUAAGGAAAUACAACAUGAAGCUCAACCCCGAGAAAUGUGCUUUCGGGGUCGGUUCGGGCAAGUUCCUCGGCUUCAUGGUUUCAAAUUGGGGGAUCGAGAUUAACCUCGAUAAAAUCAAGCCCACCGAAGACAUCACCAUCGUGGAUGGCGUGAAAGCCGUACAGAGGCUAACGGGAUGGAUUGCAUCCUUAGGCCAAUUCAUUUCGAGAUCGUCAGAUCGAAGUCAUAAAUUUUUCUCUCUACUCAAAAAGAAGAACGAUUUCGCUUGGACUCCGGAAUGCCAACAAGCAUUAGAGGAAUUAAAACGAUAUCUAUCGAUCCCACCGCUACUUCAUACUUCAAAAAUAGGCGAAAAACUUUGCUUGUAUUUGGCAGUAUCAGAAAUCACGGUAAGCGGUGUCCUAGUUUGAGAAGAGCAAGGUACGCAAUUUCCCAUUUAUUAAAUAAGUCGGACCUUAGGAGAAGCAGAAACUAGAUAUCCGCACCUAGAAAAAUUGGCACUUGCAAUGAUAAGCGCCUCUAGGAAGUUAAGACCGUACUUUCAAUGUCACCCCAUAUGCAUAUUAACCACUUACCCGCUUCGUAAUAUUUUGCACAAGCCCGAACUAUCAGGCCGAUUGGCCAAAUGGGCCGUCGAACUCAGUGGGUACGAUAUCGAAUAUCAACCUCGUACGACCAUCAAGUCUCAAAUUUUAGUAGACUUCGUGGCCGAUUUCAUGCCAGCUCUCAUACCCGAAGUUGAAAAAGAACUCUUGUUAAAAUCGGGUACAUCAUUGGGGGUUUGGACCCUCUUCACAGAUGGUGCUUCGAAUGUGAAUGGGUCCCCGCUUGGCAUUGUGUUGAAACCCCCCAUGGGUGGCAUCAUUAGGCAGUCUAUCAAAACUUCUAGGUUAACUAACAAUGAGGUCGAGUACGAGGCCAUGAUUGCAGGUCUCGAGCAGGCCAAAAGCCUGGGAGCAGAAAUGAUUGAAGCUAAAUGUGACUCUUUGCUGGUAGUAAACCAAGUAAACAAAACCUUCGAGGUUCGAGAAGGCAGAAUGCAGAGGUAUUUGGAUAAAUUACAGGUAACUUUGCACCGUUUUAAGGAAUGGACUCCGCAACAUGUGCCUCGAGAACAAAACGGUAAGGCUGAUGCACUCGCAAAUUUGGGGUCAUCGGUCGAGGAAGAUAAGAUCGAUUCGGAGACUGUCGUUCAACUCUCAAGGUCUGUAAUCGAGGAGGGGCACGCCGAGAUAAACUCCACAAGAUUAACAUGGGAUUGGAGAAAUAAGUAUAUUGAAUAUUUGGGAAACGGAAAACUCCCAUCGAACCCUAAAGAGUCAAGGGCCCAACGAACCAAAGCUGCUCGAUUCACAUUGGCUGAAGAUGGAACAUUGUACAAAAGGACGUUCGAUGGACCAUUGGCAGUAUGCUUGGAACCGGGAGACACCGAUUAUGUUUUACGAGAGAUCCAUAAAGGCACUUAUGGGAACCACUCCGGCGCCGAAUCACUAAUUCACAAAAUCAUCAGAGCAGGAUAUUACUAGGAUAACAUGGAAAGGGACACUAAGGAGUUUGUUCGAAGAUGUGAUAAAUGUCAAAGGUUUGCACCGAUGAUCCAUCAUCCCGGGGAACAACUUCAUUCAGUCCUAUCCCCAUGGCCAUUCAUGAAAUGGGGGAUGGAUAUCGUCGGCCCCCUACCGUCGGCCCCAGGUAAAGCUAAAUUCAUUUUAUUUAUGACUGACUAUUUCUAUAAAUGGGUUGAAGCACAGGCGUUCUAGAAAGUAAGAGAAAAAGAGGUCAUAGAUUUCAUCUGGGAUCACAUCGUGUGUCGAUACGGGAUACCCGCAGAAAUAACAUGCGAUAAUGGAAAGCAAUUUAUCGACGGUAAAGUAACAAAAUUUCUCGAAUAUCAUAAAAUAAAAAGGAUAUUAUCGACACAGUAUCACCCCAGUAGGAACAGACAAGCCGAAUCAACAAACAAGACUAUCAUCCAAAACUUGAAGAAAAAGUUGAACGAAGCCAAAGGGAAAUGGAGAGAAAUUCUGCCCGAAGUCCUAUGAGCAUAUCUAACAACAUCAAAGUCUAGUACAUGAGCAACUCCGUUUUCCUUAGUGUAUGGCUCCGAAGCCUUAAUUCCAGUCGAAGUCGGAGAACCCAGCGCAAGGUUUCGACAUACAUUGGUGGAAUCAAACCAUGAGGCAAUGAACACUAGCCUCGAAUUAUUAGAUGAAAAAUGAUAAGUGGCACUCGUUCGAAUGGCUGCACAAAAAUAACGAACCGAAAGGUACUACAAUAGAAGAACCAUCCUCCACCACUUCAGGAUCAGAAACUUAGUCCUAAGGAAGGUCACUAUCAAUACUCGAGAUCCUAAUGAAGGGAAGCUCGGCCCAAAUUGGGAAGGACCCUAUCAGGUCCUUUACAUAGUCGGAAGGUGAUCUUAUAAACUCGGAACGAUGGAUGGCAAACCAUUAUCGAACAACUGGAACAUAUCACUCCCCAAACGAUAUUAUUGUUAAGGUAUGAUUCUCUCUUUCCUUUCGCCCAUAUAUACAUAUCUGAAGCUAAUCCAUUGCAGGAGUUCGAUCAAAGAUGUCGAGACCUCAGGUUUUAAAGUACGCGUUGCACUCUUUUUCCCCUUAGAUCGGCUUUUAUCCCAAAUGGGUUUUCCCGGCGAGGUUUUUAACGAGGCAACAACCAUGUGCUACCUGAGGGCAAUUCAACAGUAUCCAAGGCUUCUUUAUAAUCAACCUCGAAUACGGGGGGAGGGGAGGGACAUUAGCCCUCAAAUAUAUCGCGUUUUGAUACAAGAAAGUUAUUUCGUAACAACAGAGUUCCAAUAGAAAAAGUUGUAAGAGCCAAAUGGUCAAAACGAACCAUGCUCAUCUAGUUAGCCCGAGCCCUGACGCAAAACAUGAACACAUGUAUAAUGACUUGCAAAAAAAAGUUCUCUUCUAUACUGAUAUCUUAUAUCCAAGAAAAAUUCCUCUAUUUUGAGAUUUAUUAUGCAAACAGGAUCGGGUUCGAAUCAUCCACUCGAUCAUUAAGCCUACGGGCUACUUUUAUUUCGAGUUCGAAUCAUUCACUCGACCAUUAAGCCUAUGGGCUACUUUUAUUCCGAGUUCGAGCAAGCACUCACUCGACUAUUACGCACACUGACUACAUUACUUCGAGUUCGAAUCAUUCACUCAACCAUUAAGCCUACGAGCUACUUUUAUUUCGAGUUCGAUCAAGGACUUACUCGACCAUUAUGCCCACGGGCUACAUUACUUCGAGUUCGAAUCAUUCACUCGACUACUAAGCCUACGAGCUAUUUUUAUUUCGAGUUCAAGCAAGCACUCACUAGAUCAUUAUGCCCACGGGCUACAUUACUUAGAGUUCGAAUCAUUCACUCCACCAUUAAGCAUACGAGCUACUUUUAUUUCGAGUUCGAGCAAGUACUCACUUGACCAUUACGCCCACUGGCUACAUUACUUCGAGUUCGAAUCAUUCACUCGACCAUUAAGCCUACGGGAUACUUUUAUUUCGAGUUUGAGCAAGUACUCACUCGACCAUUACGCCCACGGGCUAUAUUACUUUGAGUUCGAAUCAUUCACUCGACUACUAAGCCUAAAGGCUACAUCACUUCAAGUUUGAGUAAGCGCUCACUCGGUUAUAAAGGCUACGAAGUCCAAAGAAGAUCAAGUUGCCUAAAUCCUUGUGAAAAUAGUCAUAAGGCGUGAAUAAAAUCUUCACAAGAUAGAAAACAAAACAGAAACAAGUCGGCAAAAGGGAUAUUUUUAUAUACAAUAUUGUUUACAUAAUUGAUUACAACAUAAAAAUUGAGGACUAAGCUUCUUGGUUAUCCCCAUAAGCAGUGUCUUCUCUAUCAGGCUCCUCCCCCUCCCCCCUCCCCGCAUUUUCCGACCCGCUCUUACUCUCAUCAUCAUCAUAAUCAUCAUCAUUAUCAUUAUCAUCAUCAUCGGAAACCAAGGCUUUAUCAUCGGCUUUGAGUUCUUUGGCCAUUUUAAUCUUUUCAGCGAGGUCGAAACCUCGAGCAUGGAUCUCCUCAAGGGUCCCCCUCCGAGAUCGACACUUAGCAAGUUCAGCGACCCAAUGUGCUCGAGUAUCGGCGGUCUCGGCUGCCUUUCUUGCUUGGACCUGGGCAACUUCAGCAUUGGCCCGAUAGACGGCCACGAGUGCAUCCGCACCGGCCUUUGCCUUUUCGGCGUCAGACUCGGCCUUGGCAAGUUCAAAGGCCAACCGAGCAUCGAGCUCCUCUAUUCUUCUUGCUUGGACCGAGCCUUUCUCCUUCAUUUUUUGAAGUUGGUUUUCGGCCGAUGAUAAUUGGGCUCGAGCAGUUUCUUUCUCUAUAGCAAAGCGGUUCAUUCCUUCUUUCCACUUUAAAGACUCCGCUUUUAUCACAUCGACUUUUUCACGGAGUUUUCCGAUCAUCUCAAUUUUAUGCUGCAGCUAUGAGAUCGAAAAAUUAGCCGUCAUUCCGAUAUCGAGCCCAUAGGAUUUUAAAAGUAUUAUUACCUUCGUUCUGAUCUUGGUGAGCCUUGGCCCACUCAACUCGGAGGUCUUUUAUUUCUUCCCCCCCUUUGGCCUAAGAGGAGUUUUAGGGAGUUUCUCUCCUCUGUAACCCGUUGAAGCUCGGCCUCGUAUCGACGCAGCUCGGUUCGGGACCGAGAACAUGAUUCUCGAUGAACUGUCAUGGCCUGCAAAGAAAGAAGAAACGAAGUUAGAAAAAAAAAGAAGCAAACUUAAAGGUAACGCCAUAUAAUUUAAGGCUUAACUGAUUCAAAGCCUGCUGCACUCCGUGAAAAAGAUCUGAUGCGUCACUUGUACCGGUAGUGUCCUCGACACCGAUAAACAGGUCACGAAAAGGAUCUUCUCCAUCAUGAGGCCUAUCUAAUUCGAGGGCCCCCAAAGCUUNNNNNNNNNNNNNNNNNNNNNNNNNNNNNNNNNNNNNNNNNNNNNNNNNNNNNNNNNNNNNNNNNNNNNNNNNNNNNNNNNNNNNNNNNNNNNNNNNNNNNNNNNNNNNNNNNNNNNNNNNNNNNNNNNNNNNNNNNNNNNNNNNNNNNNNNNNNNNNNNNNNNNNNNNNNNNNNNNNNNNNNNNNNNNNNNNNNNNNNNNNNNNNNNNNNNNNNNNNNNNNNNNNNNNNNNNNCAGAAAAAGCAGAAAAGGUGACGAGUCUUCGAUUGCUACUACCCAAAGUGAAUCACCUGGGGCAUUCUCUUCGGUUCGAAAAGAUUCGAGAAGAGUCCCUUUAGACAUAUCCCCCAUUUGUUGGCUUCGAUGGGAAGCGUCUUCGAUAUCCAACAGCUCGGAGACUCUGCCCGAAUCUUUCUCCGAUAUAUCCUCAGUUCGAGGUGGAGCCUUAUGAACCACCAUAGAUCCAGCUACCUGUGGAACGUCGGUGGUCUUCGUCAUUCGGGCCGCCAGCGCAGACCCAUCGCUAUCUUCUUCUUCUUUUUCUUCUUCUUCUUUUUCUUCUUCUUCAUCUCUCAGACGCAGAACUGAUUCUAUGGCCAAAGGGAUGAUAUUCUUAUUCGGCUUACGAGCCGUCCUCUUCUUCGGUUUUUUAUCUUCGAGGAUGGGGGCUCUUUUCCUCUUAUUUUCGUUCACCGGCUUUGGGACAGAGGCCGAAGCCUCUUCCUCGACUGAUGAGGGCCUCAAAACCGCAUCCUUGCCCACACCUACACACGAAAAAUUUUAUUAAAAUGUGUGAAAAACAUCUUAUUCAAAUUAUCAAAAGAUAAGAGAAAGGUACUUACCGUGAUUUUUGGCCUCCCAUCGGCCCUUCGACAAGUCGCGCCAUGAGCGCUCGGCAUAGUAGGAGGUCGAAACCAGAUCACGUACCCAGUUCUUGAGAUCGGACACUGCGCCGGGCAUCCAGGGGAAUAUUGGUGAAGGAAAUGAAAGGAUAAAAUAGUAGGAGAUAACAAUAGAAUUACACUUACGCUUCAUGUUCCACUCCUAAGGAAAAGGCAUCUUUUCGGUCGGAAUCAGGUCCGAAGUCCUUACUCGAAUGAAUCUGCCCAUCCAGCCUCGAUCUUUAUCCUCGUCUAUACUCAAGAACAGAGCCUUGGUAGCUCGACGUUGGAGUUUUAUUAACCCUCCUCGAAAAAGGCGAGGACGGUAUAAUCAGACAAGAUGAUCGAGGGUGAAAGGCAUCCCCUCAAUUUUACUAACAAAGUAUCGGAUCAAAAUAACGAUCCGCCAAAAGGAAGGAUGUAUCUGGCCUAGGGUUAUUAGGUAUUUACGACAAAAAUCUAUGAUAACGGGGUCGAGGGGACCUAACCUGAAAGGGUAAGUAUACACGCUUAAAAACCCUCUCACGUGAGUAGUAAUAUCCUCUUCGGGAGACGUCACUACCACUUCUUUGUUCUCCCAAUUACAAUCUUUUUUAUCCGCUCGAUAUGCUCCCGGAUUAUCAAACAAAUAUAUCUCAAUACGGGCUUACAUCGUCCAUGAACCAGCGAACCUUUAUCGAGUUUGAAAUCGGAGGUAAGAACACACGCCGCCGGAAUGCACUCCUCAGGCCGUGGAUCCACCGGUGUUUUGUCGGCGGCGGAUUGGGAAGAAGAACCUUUUUCUUUUUGGGGGACGGUUUUUGAUGUUUUCACCAUUUUGGAUUUAAAAAGGUAACAAAGAUUUGGUGGUUUAGAAGAAUAACCUUACAAAGAAGAAUCAUAAAUUUGCGAAUAAACUCAGAGAGUACGAAAAAGAACUUGGGAAAUUUGGAAGAUUGAAGAUGUAAAAGUGGUAAAUGAUAAAAGGAAGGGCUAUUUAUAGAUUAAAGCAAUGGCGGUUCAGUAUCAGCGGUGGCCGACCACUGUCUGACAUGCAUUAAAUGCCUUGAAAAACUAAAUUGACGGGACAACUAUCAUGUGGGUCAUGGUCGAGCCCAAUGUAAAUGUCAGCUUAUAAUCCGAUCGAGCCGUUGAAAAAUCGUAUCGUUUCCCACCACAUCCUUCCCGAGAAACGAGGGGACUAUUUGUAUAUGGUCGAAAUAGAUUUCGGUCUUCGUACGAUCGAUCAAGGUCAAAACGUAAUAGAUCGGAGUAAGACUUCGAGAUGGGUUCCGAAGAUGGUACAAACAAGCUUCGAGCCCGAGAGACCAAUCAAUGUCGAGCUCGAUAUCAUUAUCAAGCUCGAAUCCAAAUCGAACUAUGAUGCAAAGUAAAGUUAUCGAGCUUAUGAUUCAGAGACCGACCAACACUGACCCCGAAUCAAUGCAAGGAUCCGAGUCAGAAUCGAGCUCAAAUCAAGAUCGAGAGUUCGAGUCAAGACCGAAAACUCGAGUCAAUAUCGAGCUCAUAGACAAGAGCCGUUGCAAUCCCACUAGAUGAGAGAAUCCCGACAGGAAUUAUGGAAAAGCUGAUUUAUCAUGGGUCUCCCACUAUGUAUUUUUAAUUAUAUCUAGAGUAAGAUCCUUCUACUAUAAAAUGGAUGGUUAUUAUUUGUGUAAGGACCAGGUUUUUACUUAUAUUGUAAUUCAAGCAUCAUAUUCUCCUAUAGUGAAGAGUUGUUCUUUUAAGCUUCAUAAAUUGAUUCAACCUGUUCAGUCCUAAAAAUUAUUUUCUUUACAACCUUAGUUUACUUUGUACUCUUUGCAAUCCAUAUCUGAUAUUUCUAUGUAUCCUUACGGUUUGUAUUAAGCUAUACCAAAUAUCCUUAGAACUACGUACAAAUUUAACUAUAUCCGUUUUUCGGGUAAACAAUUAUCAAAUAAUAUGAAAACUAACUCUUCAUAUUAUUGUAUACAACUUGUACUUUAGUGCCAGCAAUAAAAAUGUAAGUAGAAAAAGAAAAUUUCCUAUUUUGAAAUCAAAAGGUCCAAGAAAACUAAAAAAAAAUAGUCAUAUAAUUAGUUGAAAUGUUGAUUUGAAUAUCACAAUUAGCAAAAAAUAAAGGAUCUAAGAAGACAAACAUCACAUCAUAUGUCGCAGCAGUUACAAGUGUCCUACGUAUACAGGCAAACAUUCAAUUACGCCGAUGGCCAACCACAUGUGAUGUCGACUUUCCUUUCUUUAAGAUGCAUUUUGAGGGAGAAAAAAGAGGAGAAAAAAGCUGUAUUCUUCUGUACAUCUGUUAUAUGCAGGAAAUAAUAUUCAAGGGAGUACAUUUUAUUGAAAGUGACGGUCAACAAAUUUGGUUAACACCUGCUAUGAAAUCAUUGGGAUCAAACAAAAAAAUUAUUAAACCUUUGGCUUGUACAGAAAAAUUUUGAAUUUCAUAAUUGAAUAUUGUUUUGAUUGAUUUUUUUGCUGGUUACACUUUAUUGAAAUAUAUUUUUAUUAAGUCUUUCAAGUUAUGCGCUUGAUGACUUUUAUCAAUUAUAACUCGAAUCUUCUUGGUUGGAGGGUUUCUCAGUACUCCUUUAUGUCAUGAAUGUGAAAUUUGACAAGGUUUGAUUUAAUUUGAAAGACUAUUACAAAUAAACAGAGGUAUUUCAAUUUCAUCUAAUGAACAUAGAUAUUCUUAAUUAGCUUAAUCUUCUAGUAUGCUCAUGUGUUCUUUACGAACAGUUCAAUCACAUAUUGCUUUCUUUUAUUUGCUAAUUACAAUAAGGGAUUGUUACACAAAUAGUCGAUCAUAUUCAAUGUUUACUUUUUUUAGUCGGUAUACAUAAAUUAUAUAUUGAUUAUACAUAUUUAUACAUAUAAUAUAUAUGUAUUGUACAUAUAUUAUACAUCUGCUGGCUAUUUAGAGUUUAAGAGAUUAGAUGGGUGGUUAUUUGAGUUAAUUCUUCUUACAAUAACUUAGAGCCCGUUUGGAAAUAAGAAAUUUUUUCUUUUUUUAAAAAAAAAUUCACUUUUUUUCAAAAUCAGCGUUUGUUCAUAAAAUUUCCAAUUUUCACUGUAUUUUGAAAAUUUUCGAAAAUUUGAAAAACUCCAAAAAGCUAUUUUUCAAAAGUUUCACUGAGAUCACUCACAAAACUUCAAAAACAACCCAAAAUUAUAUUCAUGUUCAAACACAACUCUAAAUUUCAAAUACUAUUUUCACUUGAAAUUUUUUUCCCCCUAUUUUUGAAUUUUACAAUUCUUAUGUCCAAACGCCCCUUAGUUUGUUCCAGGAUGUUUGGGCAAAGAGUCCGAACCGACUCGGAGCUCUAACGCCGAAUUAGGGUAGAAAAACUCUAUUUUUUGGUCUUUCACUCUAAAUAUGAAUACAGAAAAUACACACAUUUACAUAACUACACAAAUACAAAAGUUGCACACUCUUUGGCCGUUGAAGAUUUUUUAGAAGGCUACAACUGUUAACAAAUUCGAAAAUUUAUUUUCGAUUCUCAGUUCUUUUAGCCAUUGCUUUCUCUUUAAAAUUUAUAUCGUCAUAUUUCAUAAUGGAUAAAACUGUACUCAUUAUUAGUGCUUAAAUUUAUGAAAAAUAUUUAGCUAGCGUUUGGACAUAGAUUUGAUUGAAACUUGAAAAAAGAAUUUUUGAAAUUGUGUUGAAAAAUAAUGUUUGAAAGUUGAAGUUGUGUGAGUGCAAGGAAAAUUUUUUCCAAAAAACUGGUUUAGACAUUUUUUGGAAACUUGAACAUUUUUGAAAUUUUUUUCCCAAAACAUAAUUAUAUUUCAUAAAUAAAUGUUUUCAAUUUAUUUUUGAAAAACUGAAGCCAAAAUCUAUGGCCAAAUUUUUUCUCUUUUACAUCUUAAACUUACUAACCAAAUUAGUGUUGCUUCCUUAUGAUCAUGUCUUUUGCAUGUUAAUUUCCAUUUCAAUUAACUGAUAGGUUUGCCUUUAAUCUUUACUUUAUAACUCAAAUAAUUUUUUAAUAAUAAUUAACUAAUUUUAUUAAAAUAUAUACUCAUUGAUAUGAGGUACAUGCGCAACGCGCGUACCCUAAGACUAGUUUAUCUAAUAGCAUGGACAAUUUAAAUGGAAUGAUCGAUAGGAAUGGCCCUAUAAAGGGUUGGUAUUUCAAAAUUAUCGCCACUUUUCAAAGUAUUUAGUAAAUGAUCCUCGGUCCCAUACACGCAGACUCUAACCAAUUGGUAUGACUUUGUGGUUGUUCAAUUGUUCACUAAGUUCUACAAUAUUGGCAUGACUUUGUGUUAUCUACAUACAAUCUAUUUAUUAGAUUAUUCACAAACUCUACCCAAUUUGCAUAUAUUUUGUGCUUGUUUAAUUGUUCGCCAAACUCUACCGAUUGGCAUAAUUUUGUAUUAUCUGCAAUUUAACUAUCUCUUAAAUUAGUCAUUAAAGUCUAUGUGAUUGACAUAAUUUUUCUGUGAUAGUUCAACAAAGUAUUUUUUGAAAUUACAAUUUUAAUUUCGAUCAAAUCACUCUAAAUCUGCUCCAAAUGAUCUCAAAUUUAAAACAAAACCUGUAAUUACCAACAUAAACAAUCUCCAAUCACCAAUUUAGCCAUAUAACACCAAAUCAGUAAGAGCCACUUUGUCUUUUUCAAUACUUUCUAAGGACGAAAAAAUAAAGUUUUGAGAUUUUUAAAGUAACUCACUAAAUUGGUGUUUGUACUAAAAAUUUAAGCAUAAAUUAUCAAUAUUUAAAUAAUUUUAACAAAAAUCAACCAUUAACUUUCAGUUUCUACCUUUAAACAAAAAUUUUAAGCUUCCAAUAUCGAAGAACUACGGUAUUCUUGGAGAAAAAGAAACUUAUUUUUGUAACAAAGUAAAAAAUAAUGACAUAAAGAUUGGUCCCGUAGAGUACAACCGAUGCAAUUUUGUGAUUUAAAUGGCAUAUGUCGCGUAAAUUUACCAGUAAGAUUUAUCAAAACAUAGAAAAAUAAGUUUUUGUGGGCUGGUUUGUUUAUUAUAGCCACAUAAAUAACGAUAUACGUAGUUUUUAAAUUUUAUUUUUGUAAUUAUAAAAAUGCAGAAUAUGUCUUGGUAACUCCUCAUAUCUCGGUCACAUAGCAGAAUCCCCGGUUAUUUUACCUUUUUUAAAAUAAUUUUAAUUUUAUGGGUACCUACCGGUAUAGGUGACAGACAAUUAUAUCCAUUCACUGAUUACUUACUAUCUUUCAUCAGCACAUAUACCAAGCAACUUUAUUCGCUGAUGCUUGAAGGGAUAGGAAGAAAUCAGCUACACUUGAUAAAUCAGUUAACUAUAUAGUUUAUGAGGAAACGAAAUCAAAUUAAGAGUAUUACGUAGAUUGGAUAAGGAUUUUCUCUUCACGAUGUUUUUGAAGUUUAGCUUUCCUACAUGCAUUUUGGCAAUAGCAAACAAGUUUGGCUACCAAUUUGGUUCUGUUUUGUUAGAAGGAAACCAUUGAGACAUUUACUUAUUACAAUAAUUUCGAAGACGGAAUUCUUGGGGGCUAAGUGCACAAGAGACCAACCAUACUAUGUAUUUACCGGCACCAAUCGACACUUUGUAGGGCAGUAUGUUUGGUGUUAGAGUAUUUCAAAUUAAUCGAAUAUCUCAUUGUUUAUAUAUACAAUUCUAAUACUCCAUACAUAUUUGUGAUCCGAAAAUAAUGAGAAAAGGUUAAACCUUCACAAAGGAAAAAAAAAAGGGGGGAAACAAACGCUUGGGCAGGUACAUUUAGUCAGAGUUAGAAUGCUGAGUUUAUGAGUUCUGAUUUUAAAAAAGACAGUUCGCUGUAAAUUUUUGUACUUAUUAAGUGAUCCUUUUAAUACAAAUACAAGAUUUGGGGUAAUGUUUAUUGAACUCGUAAGCGAAACUGUAGCGCAUGGCUUUGAAAAGGAAAUGAGGUCCUACAUACGGAACUUUAUGUCAUCUCUGCAAAUCUGCCUAUAAUUUUCAAAGUGUAGUUUCAGUUUACAGGAGCUGGCCUACUAACCAUUGGGCAACUGCAGGUGGCUCUUUAACUUUCUGAGAGAGAAGCAGUGGGUUCUGAACUUUUGAUGCUUCAUAGCAAAAGCCCCUAAAUGAGGGAAGAGGUUUCCAUCGGGAUGCAAUACCACCGGUUCCUCGGUACCUAUACUGGUAGGAGGUAGUAAAUAACCAGUGAAAUAGUCCAAGUGGUUCGUACACGGACACCACCACUGUUAUAUAAUUGACCUACUGAUGUUAUACGCCAUCACUAAUAUCCAAAUCAAACAUGGGCAACUAGUAUGUUUCUUACAAUUAACCAAUGCUAGAGAAGAUUCUGUGUUCCUCUCCAAGAUGGAUCAAGACUACAAUACAGAGAUUACUCUACAUAAGACCAGAGAAGAGAUAACAAGCUACAGGACAUAAGCAUAUAACAGAAUUUAAUAGACACUUCUUUUCAGUGAUAGUUGCUCACUAUGUCAAUGAAAAGCCAUUGCAUGACAUUCACAAAUACAAACACGCAUACUUCACAAGCAGCUGUUUUAAUGAGAACUACAAGACAAUAUUAAGGCAACUACAGACGUCAAGUUAAUUAAAAGGAUUCUCCGAAAUCACGUGCUAAUGACAUGAUCUAAGGAAUUCAAGCAUGAUACCCGAGAAGAGAUAAUUGGUUACAGGACACAAGAUACAUAAUUUAUUAGAGAAUUUGUUUAUGAAAUUUGCUUACAAUGUGAAUGAAAGCCUUUGCACAGCAAGCCAUACAGCAUUCACAGAUAGAAACAUGUAUAUACUGCAAGUAGCUACAUUAAUAACUAUAAGGACAAUACUAAGGAAACUACACACAUCAACCUAACAAAAAGGGAUCUCCAUAAUUACGUACUAAUGACAUGAUUUGAAGAAUUCAAGCAUAACACAUAAGAAGAUACAACAAGUUACAGGGCAUAAGCUAGAAACAUAAUCCAUUAGAUCUUCUGAGAUAUACUCGCAUACAAUGUAAGUUAAAAUCCAUUGCAUGGCGGCAUGCCAUACGGCAUUCACAUUUACAAAGACGUAUACUUAGCAAGUAGCUGCAUUAAUGAGAACUAUAGAACAAUAUUAACUCUGACGCUAACAAAAAAGAAUCUCUAUAUUACAUAUUAAUGACAUGAUCUGAAAAAUUCAAGCAUGACACACAAGAAGAGAUAACAAGUUACAGGGCAUAGCAAGAAACAGAAUCCACCAGUUCAACCGAGAGAAUAUACAAAGUGAGUUAAAAGCCAUUGCAUGGCGUGAGUAGCUGCAUUAAUAAGAACUAUAAGAACAAUUUAAGGUAACUAUAGACAUCAAGAUAAACAAAGGGAUCUCCAUAAUUACCUAUUAAUGACAUGAGCUAAACAGUCCAAGCAGGUUCCUAGCAGCUACCACACAAAACCAUGCACAGGAAAAAAAGUCUUUGUGUAACCAUAUAGAGUAUAAUGCAAAAAUACUCACACCAAUGACACAUUGCAAGCAAGUUAGAAUAUAUUACAAGCUGAACACCAUCUGCAUCAGAACCCAGUCUUACUACAACUACUAAUGCUUCAAAUGCUUAUAUCAAAAUGCUGUACAUAUUCAGGUAAAGCUAAAUUAAACCAAAAAUUCCAAUCAUCAAUACUCCAGCUUCAGAUUAUAGUUGAUAUGAUCUUUUGAUCCAACUCUAUCAAAUAACCAUCACUACAUUCACACAGUUGCCCUCAGAUGAAACUAAAUGAAUAUAAAAAACUUCACAUUAUAACAAAUAGCAGGAAGACUGGUAAUUGUCAAUUUCCAUCUCAGUGUUAGAAGAAGUAAAAUUCUAACUCUUCAACACAUCAAAAGUAAUAUAGGUGUUCCAACGCAAUGAAAAUACAUCCAUAUAGAAAAAUAAGCAUUAUAUGUAGAAUAUAAAACAAGUAAAAUAUAUCCAUAUAGAAAAAUAAGCAUUAUAUGAAAAAUAUAAAACAAGUAACCACGAAUACUAAUAUUUGAUCAUAUGAAGUCUCACUUGUUACAUGCCGAAAGGGGAAUAGAUAACAUCAUACACAUAUAAUAACAGCGCAGAAAGAUCUCAAAUUUCCCUCUCAUCUUGCAUGUCAAUAUAUAAAUAAAUACUAUUUCAACCCAAACAACGUAGGAGUUUAAGACACGCAAUAAGAAUUAAUUUGACAUACACACUGGUCCAUCCAUCCAACAUGAAAUCCCAUGAUAUAAAAUAUGAGAAGUAAAAUUAAACAAGUGAAUUCUCUUCCAACAACAGAUGAUGACUCAUAGCAGACAUGAUCUGGCCUUUAACUCUAUGGUUCUCUUUUUUCUUUCUUUUUUUCCACAUGCUUUCCUCCGCCACCCAAAAAA